CAAGCCCUAAAUAAGGACAGAAUGUCCAAGGACAGCGGACUAAACCGAAAAAUCUCACACCAAGUGAACGUUUUAUUUAUAUUUCCAUCCCUGAUUUAAAUUCUUUAAAAGUCGAUUCAAAACAUUGCAAGAAGCAAAUGCAGUGGAUUUUAGAGAAGUCGGCUUCGUCGAACGUCGUUCUUCGCCUUUUUCGGACAUUGUGAUCUUGACGCCCUUCCCCCCCGCCCCUAUCAAAUUUGAGGGCCCCCAGCCGAAUUGUAGGGGAAGGGCUAGCCCCCUACAAUAAUCUACAAUUAUUAUUGUCACAGCUAAAUCAUUUUAAUUUACUGAUUUCCGCUUCAAGAAAUUUUGAACGAUUUGGCACGAAUGCUCCAUUGAAUUGGAUAAGCAAUGAUGCAGAUUUGACACAUAUACUCCACCCUGAGGUUUAGCUAGGUAAUUAAUGUUAUCUGCUGAGUUGUUUAGCAGACAUAAGCUUUUAUUGCAUUAAAUCUAAGCACUUUCUUAAAUUUAGAUGUCUGUGGUUCAUUGAGUUUUUGUUAUUGUUAUGAUAAGAACAUCAACAUGAGACCAAAAUCAGUUCUUUUAUAGCAAUUUUAAUGAGAACUUAAUGCUUUAAUCAAUUAAGCUCAACCCCUUGAACAUAUGGUUCAUUGAUUGAAUUACAUAAACAAUGAUGUAGAUUUGGCACGAAUGCUUCAUUGAAUUGGAUAAGCAAUGAUGUAGAUUUGACACAAAUACUCUAACCUUAAGUUUAGGCAUUUGGCUAGAUAACUAAUGUUAUCUGCAUCUAGCACUUUUUUUUCACACUUGCUCUCGAGCUCUGGGCUGCUGCUUUGGUGUGUGGGGGAUUGAGCCUGUGUAACAAACACAAGGAUGCACACCAUUAUCAAUGUGUACAAGAUCUUUUCCAGCUAAGGUUAUGGGCUUGCCUUACCAGUUGAACCUGGCAUAUGAUGCACACACCAUCACAUAACAACCCGUUGGACCACAUUAAUUUUCUGACGUUGCUGAUUCUCUUUUUUUUUUUUUUUUUUUGUGAGAUGGGGAGAAGGGCGGAGGGAGAGCGGACAACGGGUAGAAAAGUUUAUUCAUUUAUUUUUAAUUAGGGCAAUUAUAUUAUAUGCUUGAUUGUAAGGUAUUACAUGAAUUUAUUGAUUUCCAGACAGGUAUCAGAAUUUGCAUUUAAAGUGAAAAAUGUUGAAAUUACCAAGAAAACAUUUUCUUGCAACUGCUAUAAUUUGGGAAAAUUUGUUUGAUUUCAUGCUGUAGUAUAUUUGUCACCGCCUAUCCUGAUUUCUGCGCAUCCCAUUGGAAAUGUGAAUAAUGUAUGAUGCAAUUUCA